AGUAUGCUAAGGCGCUUGAGAGAACUGUGUUGAAGGAACUAGGCAAAUUGCCCUCGUAACUUCGGAAGAAGAGGGCCCGGUCUCUACGCAAGUAUUGGCCGGGGGCACAUAGCAGGGGGUGGCGACUGUUUACUAAAAACACAGGGCGCUGCGAAAUCCAAAGAUGACGUAUAGCGUCUGACGCCUGCCCGGUGCUGGAAGGUUAAGAGGAGAUGUGAAAGCGUUGAAUCGAAGCCCCAGUAAACGGCGGCCGUAACGAUAACGGUCCUAAGGUAGCGAAAUUCCUUGUCGGGUAAGUUCCGACCUGCACGAAAGGCGUAACGACUUCCCCACUGUCUCCAACACAGGCUCAGCGAAAUUGAAUUCCCCGUGAAGAUGCGGGGUUCCCGCGGUCAGACGGAAAGACCCCAUGCACCUUUACUGCAACUUUACACUGGCAUUAGGAAUGGAAUGUGUAGGAUAGGUGGUAGGCAUUGAAGCAGAGGCGCUAGCCUUUGUGGAGCCGUCCUUGAAAUACCACCCUUUUUGUUCCUGAUGUCUAACCGCGACCCGUCACCGGGUCCGAGACAGUGUAUGGUAGGCAGUUUGACUGGGGCGGUCGCCUCCCAAAGAGUAACGGAGGCGCGCGAUGGUAGGCUCAAUCCGGUCGGAAAUCGGAUGUUGAGUGCAAUGGCAAAAGCCUGCCUGACUGCAAGGUCGACGGACCAAGCAGAGACGAAAGUCGGUCAUAGUGAUCCGGUGAUCCCGAGUGGAAGGGUCAUCGCUCAACGGAUAAAAGGUACGCCGGGGAUAACAGGCUGAUCGCACCCAAGCGUCCAUAGCGACGGUGCGGUUUGGCACCUCGAUGUCGGCUCAUCUCAUCCUGGGGCUGUAGCCGGUCCCAAGGGUAUGGCUGUUCGCCAUUUAAAGUGGUACGUGAGCUGGGUUUAGAACGUCGUGAGACAGUUCGGUCCCUAUCUGCCGUGGGUGUUCGAAACUUGAGAGGACUUUUUCCUAGUACGAGAGGACCGGAAAGAACGUAUCUCUGGUGGAUCGGUUGUCACGCCAGUGGCAUAGCCGAGUAGCUAAAUACGGACAAGAUAACCGCUGAAAGCAUCUAAGCGGGAAACUUACCUCAAAACCAGGUUUCGCUUGAGAGCCGGGGAAGACUACCCCGUCGAUAGGCCAGGUGUGUAAGCGCGGCAACGUGUUGAGCUUACUGGUACUAAUCGCUCC
rnacentral:rRNA from 1 species